rnacentral:lncRNA from 1 species
UAUUACCCCUGGUCGCGAAGUAACAGCGCCUGCACACAUCAGGGUGAACUUUACAGGCAACAUUUCAGCAACUUAACCCAGUGGGCAGUCAAAAUGUUUGAUGCGUCGGACAUAGCACCGGACGGAAUUUUGGAGACUGAUAAUUUGAAUUCAGGGCAUUUCGACGAUGUGUUUGGCCAUCGACGUGGGACCCCUGGACAUGAAAGGGCAGUACUGCUUGGUUAAAGUUGAAUAUAGCCCUUACGAAGAAAUAAGUCUGGAUUUCUGGACACCUGACCGAGAGACGAACUACGAUCAACCUGAUCCCAUGAAGACCGUUUGGCUGGAUGCGAAGCCGCAUACAGACCCAGCGCGGAGCAACAGAAGCGAGUUCGAAUUCGCUGUUUGUCUUCCCAAGUCAUGUUCGGCCGAGGAUCUGCAGGUGUCGCUCCAAGAGACGAUAAACCAAGUGGCCGCUUUCCAUAAGCUCAACUUUCAGCUUACUGUUCGAUCUCAAGAUUGCUCCGUAAAGGAUCCCGAAAACCCUGACCAACUCGGAUUUGCCGUUACUGUGUCAAUUUUUAUGGCCGCCGUUACGCUUGUGAUCAUCAGCACUUUGUUGGAUAUUUUCAUCUUCCAGAAAAGCAAGUCCAAGAGUAUUUUCCGUAAGUGAGCUUACAAUAUUGAUUCGAACUUGUGUUACUUUUGGUGAAUAUAGGAAGUGAAACACAGACCAACCCAAAUUUUUUGUUGAUU